CUGCCCUGGGACUUCCAGGUCUCUGUUUCGAAUUACCAAGCACGACCGGGCAGCUGGGACACCAAUCCAACCAUUCAUCUGACGGAUAAUGGGAAAACAGGCCUCAGCUUUGUGCCCAGCUGGAAUGCAAAACGCCUAAACCACGUUGUUGUCCUCUUUGGGAGUUGGCACUGUGGAAGGAACCAGGUGCUGUUCUGGGCUAGAUGGGCUGGAAUCCUAGCUCUCAACUAUACCAGCUGGGUAACCUUGGAUGAAAUGAUUUCCACAGUACCCUCAUGCCAAUUGGAUACAGGUAUUCCUGGCCCCAUUUCACCAUUGGUCAGACAGAGAACUAAUAAAUAUGAGAGAGAUCAGCAUGGACAUUGCAACUUUGAAGGAAACACACACAGAAGUGGAAAGACCCAGAUCUCACUUCUCUAACAAGCUCCUCUCAUGGGCUGGAAGAAACUUGAAUGUACAGAUCUCCUGAUUUAAUACCAAGAAGAAAGUUGAGUUUUCAGACCUGACUGAAGAAGCACGUGGCAAGUUUGGAGAAAUGAUACUGGGAGGAUCCAGAUUAAGAAAAUGUCAAGAAGAACUGGAGAUGGAUGAUAGUUGUAGAACAAGGUGAAUGUACUUAAUGCCAUGGAACUGGACACUUAAAAACAGGCCAAAAUGAUACAGACUUCACAUCUGGAGUUGCAGCAGCCAACUUGUGACCCUGAGAAACAAAAGUCACAUGCUAAGGAUGGUGAACCAAGGAACAAGACAGAGUUGGGGUCCUUUAGGACAUCAUACAGUCACUGUACCA